rnacentral:rRNA from 1 species
ACGAACGCUGGCGGCGUGCUUAACACAUGCAAGUCGAACGGAAAGGCCCUGCUUUUGUGGGGUGCUCGAGUGGCGAACGGGUGAGUAACACGUGAGUAACCUGCCCUUGACUUUGGGAUAACUUCAGGAAACUGGGGCUAAUACCGGAUAGGAGCUCCUGCUGCAUGGUGGGGGUUGGAAAGUUUCGGCGGUUGGGGAUGGACUCGCGGCUUAUCAGCUUGUUGGUGGGGUAGUGGCUUACCAAGGCUUUGACGGGUAGUCGGCCUGAGAGGGUGACCGGCCACAUUGGGACUGAGAUACGGCCCAGACUCCUACGGGAGGCAGCAGUGGGGAAUAUUGCACAAUGGGCGGAAGCCUGAUGCAGCAACGCCGCGUGCGGGAUGACGGCCUUCGGGUUGUAAACCGCUUUCGCCUGUGACGAAGCGUGAGUGACGGUAAUGGGUAAAGAAGCACCGGCUAACUACGUG